rnacentral:miRNA from 1 species
AGUCCGUGCCCCCCCGGUUCCC